GCUCACCCCGUGGUGCCCUUAUAAAACUCAACGUUUAACCUACUCACGCCGGCUUGUGCCCGCCCUCACAGUCGGGCAUAUUUGCGGAAUACACCACGCCGCCGUUGACCCUGGCCAUUGACUGAGCAACCCAACGUUCCUACCAGCUCCCGCCGCAGGAAUGUGUUAUUUUACGAUUGUGUGCCUUCAUCAUCCUGCCAUGAGACGCGCACCGUUUUCAUCCCGAACUCCCGCAGCAAGCGGUGCACCACAGCGUGUUGAAGAACUGGCGUAGAACAUGAUGUCACAGAACUACUUCUGAAGCGGAGCGGCGUAAUUAAUUAGCCGGCGUUCACUCCGCAAGCAGAAUGAGAAGGAACACGCUACUCGAGAAGACAUCUGGAUACCCCGGCCCCGUGCGUGUCCGCAGAUGGCAAGUGACGUCUGCACGUGGAACGCGCAAGACAUGUUCACGGAAUCGUCUCAUCUCCUGGUCAUCCACACUGCCGAUUUCCUCUCCCCAACGCUUGGUGCAGAAUUGAAGGCUACCUUCCCUGCUCCGCCGUUGACAAAGUCGCUCAUCUCUUGAGCCCACUCUCUCAGAAUGUCC